GCAACAAACCAUGCAACAGUCUCAAAGUUAAACCUAGUUUGGCAGAAAUCAUUAAAUGAACUUAACUGUCACCUUCACCCCUUGGAUACAAUGACAAGCUCUUGCAAGUCUUCACUUAAAGCAUUAGAGACUUCAAAAGGGAAACUUUUUGGAAGAGACUGCAUAGCAGCAAACAUUGUUGUACAGCUGAACAAACUUCGUUACAAGGAUGCUAAAGGCGAUCCAAAGGGUUUUGUAACCUUUUUGGACCAACAUGAGUUGCCCAGAGGAUUGCUACCACGCUAUAGAGGGAACAGACUACAUAUGCUUUUUCACACAUGUGGUAUUUUGAUCCAUCAUUAUGCCAUAUUGAAGAUAUUUCUGUGUUCUGGCUUGGCGUUAUGUGGAGGUCUGCGAAAUAGUUUGUUUUAAGACUUUACAUCUGAAAUAGGUAUCCGUGAGUUGUGUGUUUUAGCUUUAAUUGGAAAGCUACUUUCUGGCCCUUGGAUGACAAAAUUUUAUAUUGCACCAGGUACAGGACUUGACUACAUAUCUGGCAUUCAGGUAGUAAAAGAUGUUAGGAACACUCUUAUUGAGAGCAGCAAGAAUCCCUUAUCUCUACUUAAACGAAAAACUGAUUUCUUUGGUAAUGAUAUUAAAGAUGUUGUUUUUGAUUCAAUAAUCAGCUUUUGCCCAGUAACUAAUGAAAUGAGUAAAGCAUUAGGUGACUGUCUUAAUGCUGUUAUUAGCGUCAUUGACAGGCAGUACAAGCGUCAGUUCGAAAUGAGUUCCAAUGAUCUUCUUAAA
rnacentral:lncRNA from 1 species